rnacentral:rRNA from 1 species
GUGGGGAAUCUUCCGCAAUGGACGAAAGUCUGACGGAGCAACGCCGCGUGAACGAUGACGGCCUUCGGGUUGUAAAGUUCUGUUAUACGGGACGAAUGGUACGACGGCCAAUACCCGUCGUAAGUGACGGUACCGUAAGAGAAAGCCACGGCUAACUACGUGCCAGCAGCCGCGGUAAUACGUAGGUGGCAAGCGUUGUCCGGAAUUAUUGGGCGUAAAGGGCGCGCAGGCGGCGUCGUAAGUCGGUCUUAAAAGUGCGGGGCUUAACCCCGUGAGGGGACCGAAACUGCGAUGCUAGAGUAUCGGAGAGGAAAGCGGAAUUCCUAGUGUAGCGGUGAAAUGCGUAGAUAUUAGGAGGAACACCAGUGGCGAAAGCGGCUUUCUGGACGACAACUGACGCUGAGGCGCGAAAGCCAGGGGAGCAAACGGGAUUAGAUACCCUAGUAGUCC